CGUUAAAGUAACGUAAAGGGUUUAAUUUCGUGAUUCAAAAAAAACCGGAAGUGACGAUUUCCAACGCAUUUGAUGACGGUGUGGAGGGGAGCAAGAGGUAUCAGUCAGGUUUGUGCAGAAUUUGAGACAUCCAGAAUUACCAUAGGCCCAUUAGAAUCAACAAUCUUUGCCAAACUUGAUUCGGACUGCAAAAUUUACGAAGAUGUUUUCAUACUGAAGAAGAGACCUUGGACAAAUACUGAAACCCUCUUGGUGCCCACUACACAGACUAAUGAAAUUGAAGUAUCCAAAUGAAGACCCUAGCAGUAUGGAGUAUAUGGAUACAGACGUUGCCAGCAGUCAGGAGGUGAUCCAGAAGACUCAUGGGAAUCUAUUUGAAGCUGCAUCAUUGAAGACAGUCCAGCAGAAGUUGGAGUUUUAAAGGAUAAAGUUCUUCAGGACCUAUAGCAGUUUACAGUCUGUAAAACCAUGUUACUGGGACUGAUUUAUGGACUGAACUUGAGCAACCCUCCUGAACUCAGGUACACAUUUGGAAUACUGAAGAAGUUAUUUCUGGAGCCACUUCCUGUUCCUGGAAUAAGGUCUGAUUGGUUGCCCAUGAAUGCCAAUUAGAAUUGUAUUUGCUAUUUUGUGUAAUUUUGUAAUGUGGUUUAAACUGUAUUUUACUGUGUGUAAUUAUUUAUUGCUUGUUUAACAAAUACACUUUGAUCAUUUGUGA